rnacentral:sRNA from 1 species
UCCAAAAAGUAGUAUGCCUGACCUGAAC